CCAAUAGCGUAUAUUAAAGUUGUUGCAGUUAAAAAGCUCGUAGUUGAAUUUCGGAAUCAGUACGCCGGUCGUGCCUCCGGUAUGUACUGGUGUCACUGGUUCCUCCCUUCUGAAGAACCAUCAUGCCAUUCACUUGGUGUGGUGGGGAAUCAGGACUGUUANNNUGAAAAAAUUAGAGUGUUUAAAGCAGGCUCACGCUUGAAUAUAUUAGAAUGGAAUAAUGAAAUAGGACGUUGAUCUUAUUUUGUUGGUUUCUAGGAUUGACGUAAUGAUUAAUAGGGAUAGUUGAGGGCAUUAGUAUUCAAUUGUCAGAGGUGAAAUUCUUGGAUUUAUUGAAGACUAACUACUGCGAAAGAAUUUGCCAAGGAUGUUUUCAUUAAUCAAGAACGAAAGUUAGGGGAUCGAAGACGAUCAGAUACCGUCGUAGUCUUAACCAUAAACUAUGCCGACUAGGGAUCGGAUGAUGUUAAUUUUUUAAUGACUCAUUCGGCGCCUUACG
rnacentral:rRNA from 1 species